GAAUGCAGGAUAGUAGUACACCAAGGAAAGAAGCAAGCCUGUUAGCUCAGUGAGCAGCUUUACCAUUUACCCAGCUGAGCUUAUCAGGAGUUGCCCUUGAUUAUUCCCUCUCAAUAAUGUUCCAAGUCCAAUCAAAUAUUGUGUGCCAUUCAUUUUAUCUUUUAGAUGUCUCUGGAACCCAUCAGCAUUCAUCUAGACCUUACUGGAACUCUUAACUCACACAAACAGACACACACAAAAACCCCUGGUGAGGUUCCUGCUCCCAGCCUGCCUAUCUCUGGAACAUUCCUUCCAUGGCAGCAUAAGUAGUCUUUUUAUGUUUUUUUUUAAGGUUUAUUUAUUUUUUUGAAAGUUAAGUUAGAGAGGGGGAAACACAGAAAGAUCUUUCAUCUUUUCAUCUCCACAUGGCCACGAAGGCCAGCACUGGGCCAGGCUAAAGCUAGAAGCCAGGAGCUUCAUCCAACCCAAGCAUUUGGGCCAUCUGCUGCUUUUCCCAGGCCAUUAGCAGGGAGGUGGAUCAGAAGUGGACCAGUCAGGACAUGAACCAGUGCCUAUAUGGAAUGUUGGCAUCUCAGGUAGUGGCUUUACCAAUUGUACCACCUAGCCCCAUAAGUGGUCUUUUCAAAAUUCAACUGAUCACAUCCCUUUCUUGGCUCAGUGGGCAAAACCCCAAGUCCUUAAUAGCCUUCAGGAAACUCCAAGGCCUGUCCUUGCCUACCGCUAGCUCUCUGCACUCCAGCCAUGCUUGUGUGCAUGCCAUACCCCUCUACCUCUGGCUCUUGACACAAACUACCUCCCGGUGCAUUGUGCCCUUCCUUUCUUUCUGUUAAUUUAAUACUCAUUUAUCCUUCAGGGCUUGGCUUAAAGGACAAUGUCUCAGGGAAGCUUCCUCGACUUUGUAGAAUAGGUUAUGUCAAUCUGUCAUGUGUGCCCAUAGCCUUCUGCACUUUUUUCAUUGUUGAAUUUAGUUAUUCGUAGUUACUUGUUUUAUGUUUGGCUUCCCCAUUAGUAUGCAUUUUCCAUGAGGACAUUGACGCAUGUAUGUCCUGUACGGCUAUAUCUCCAGUAUCUUGACAAUGCCCAAUGCAUAGUCAAGUCUCAAUAAAUAGGUGCUGAGUGGGCAACUGAAAAGCUGAGUGACUUUUCCUAGGUAGGGAUUCUAUUUCCAUGCGCAGGUAAAAUCCAAGUGUUUGUGCUUUCUGUAAGCCUUUUGACCUUUAUUUUCCAUUUCACAAAACGUGUUAUGUGUAUAAUAUACUGUCCCCUUCCUCUUUUCCCUCUUCCCAGUGAUGUGUCACAAAUUGAUGUGUUUUUAUUGGGUGAGGCCCAGGUAAUCUCCCUGUUUAUAGCUCUGACCUUUCUAUGCUCAAACACACAAAGUGAACUUUGGUUUAUCUCUGACCAUAAUGUAGCUGCUAAUUGCUGGCAGGCAGGCUGUAUUGCACAGCCCACGUGACCAGUGGGGCAUGACCAGAAAGGAGCAGGGAAAGAGUAGACGGAGGGACUUGGUUAGAAGCUGUCCAGCUGCAGUCCCUGCCUCCCUAGACGCCCACAGCAGAGCACAAGAAGUAUGGUUUUGAGGUGAGCGUGGUCAUGAAGACACUGCUGUUGGGCCUGGUUUUGUGGUCACUGCUCUUCCAGCUCGGUCUGAUGUUCUGGGCUACUCAAGUGAGUCAGAAGUGCCACAGUGGCAACUAUGAAAUCAGUGUCCUGAUGAUGAACAACUCAGCUUUCCCAGAGUCCCUGGACAACUUGAAGGAAGCAGUGAUUGAGGGCAUGGACAUAGUGAGGCAGCGUCUGCAUGAAGCUGGCCUGAAUGUGACUGUGAAUGCUACCUUUAUCUACUCAGAUGGGCUGAUUCAUAAGUCAGGUGACUGCCGGAGCAGCACUUGUGAAGGACUUGACCUCCUCAGGGAAAUCACAAGAGAAAAACAGAUGGGCUGUGUCCUCAUGGGGCCUUCGUGUACAUACUCUACGUUCCAGAUGUACCUUGACACACAAUUGAACUACCCCAUGAUUUCGGCUGGAAGUUUUGGAUUGUCAUGUGACUACAAAGAAACCUUAACCAGGCUGAUGCCUCCAGCUAGGAAGUUGAUGUAUUUCUUGGUUAACUUCUGGAAGGUCAAUGAUUUGCCUUUCAAACCUUUUUCCUGGGACUCUUCAUACAUUUAUAAGGAUGGCUCUGAGACUGAGGACUGUUUCUGGUACCUAAAUGCACUGGAGGCUGGAGUUUCCUAUUUCUCUCAGGAACUCAACUUCAAGGAUACAUUGAGAAAAGAGGAUGAGUUUCGUAAUAUCUUGACGGACCUUAACAGGAAAAGCAAUGUGAUUGUUAUGUGUGGUAAACCAAAAGUCAUCGACAAUUUGAAGGAUGACUGGACAGUAGCUGAAGACACUGUCAUUAUUCUGGUGGAUCUCUUCAAUAACUACUACUUCAAUGACAGUGUCACAGCCCCUGACUAUAUGAAAAAUUUCCUUGUUUUGACACUACCUCCUGGAAAUUUCACCUUAAAUAACUCAUUCUCCAAAGAUGUUCUGCCGGCAAGAAAUGACUUCACUCUUGCUUACUUGGAUGGGACCUUGCUCUUUGGACACAUGCUGAAGACUUUUCUUAAAAAUGGAGAAAAUAUUACCACCUCCAAAUUUGCUCAUGCUUUCAGGAACCUCACAUUCCAAGGGUAUACGGGUCCUGUGACUCUGGACGACUGUGGGGAUAUUGACACUACUAUGAUACUUCUGUAUACUUCUGUGGAUACCAAGAAAUUCAAGGUUCUUUUGACUUAUGACACUCGCGUGAAUAACACUAUCCCAGUGGAUAUGAGCCCCACAUUCGUCUGGAAGAACCACAAACUUCCUAAUGAUAUUCCGGGUCGGGGCCCUCAGAUCAUGUUGAUCGCCAUCUUCACACUCACGGGGAUCGUGGUGCUGCUCCUGCUCAUCGCCCUGCUGGUGCUGAGAAAAUAUAAAAGAGAUCAUGAACUUCGUCAGAAAAAAUGGUCCCACAUUCCUCCUGAAAAUAUCUUUCCUCUGGAGACCAACGAGACCAACCAAGUCAGCCUGAAGAUUGACGAUGACAGGCGACGAGAUACAAUCCAGAGUCUACGACAGUGCAAAUAUGACAAAAAGCGAGUGAUUCUCAAAGAUCUCAAGCACAGCGAUGGUAAUUUCACUGAGAAACAGAAGAUAGAAUUGAACAAGUUGCUUCAGAUUGACUACUACAACCUGACCAAGUUCUAUGGCACAGUGAAGCUUGAUUCCAGGAUCUUUGGGGUGAUCGAAUACUGUGAGAGAGGAUCCCUCCGGGAAGUUUUAAAUGACACAAUUUCCUACCCUGAUGGCACAUUCAUGGACUGGGAGUUUAAGAUCUCCGUCUUGUAUGACAUUGCUAAGGGGAUGUCCUAUCUGCACUCCAGUAAAACAGAGGUCCACGGUCGUCUGAAAUCCACCAACUGUGUGGUAGACAGUAGGAUGGUAGUGAAGAUCACAGAUUUUGGCUGCAAUUCCAUUUUACCUCCCAAAAGAGACCUGUGGAUGGCCCCGGAGCACCUCCGCCACUCCAGGACCUCUCAGAAAGGAGAUGUGUACAGCUACGGGAUCAUCGCACAGGAAAUCAUCCUGCGAAGAGAAACCUUCUACACGCAGAGUUGCUGGGACCAAAAUGAGAAGCUUUUCAGAGUGGAAAACGCCAACAGUAUGAAACCUUUCCGCCCUGACCUAUUCCUGGAAACAGCCGAGGAAAAUGAGGUGGAAGUAUAUCUACUUGUAAAGAACUGUUGGGAGGAAGAUCCAGAGAAGAGACCAGAUUUCAAGAAAAUUGAGAAUAUACUGGCCAAAAUAUUUGGCCUUUUUCAUGACCAAAAAAGUGAAAGUUAUAUGGAUACCUUGAUCCGACGUCUACAGCUGUAUUCUCGAAACCUGGAACAUUUGGUAGAGGAAAGGACACAGCUGUACAAGGCAGAGAGAGACAGAGCUGACAGACUUAACUUCAUGUUGCUCCCAAGGCUAGUAGUAAAAUCUCUGAAGGAGAAAGGCAUUGUAGAGCCAGAACUAUAUGAGGAAGUCACAGUCUACUUCAGUGACAUUGUGGGCUUCACCACUAUCUGCAAAUACAGCACCCCCAUGGAGGUGGUGGACAUGCUCAAUGACAUCUAUAAGAGUUUUGACCACAUUGUUGAUCACCAUGAUGUAUACAAGGUAGAAACCAUAGGUGAUGCCUACAUGGUGGCUAGUGGUUUGCCUAAGAGAAAUGGCAAUCGACAUGCAUUAGACAUUGCCAAGAUGGCCUUGGAGAUCCUCAGCUUCAUGGGGACCUUUGAGCUGGAGCAUCUUCCUGGACUCCCAGUAUGGAUUCGCAUUGGAAUUCACUCUGGUCCCUGUGCGGCUGGAGUUGUGGGCAUCAAGAUGCCUCGCUAUUGCCUGUUUGGAGAUACCGUCAACACAGCCUCCAGGAUGGAAUCCACUGGCCUCCCCCUGAGAAUUCACAUGAAUGGCUCCACUUUAUCCAUCCUGAAAAGAACUGAGUGCCAGUUCCUGUAUGAAGUGAGAGGAGAAACAUACUUAAAGGGAAGAGGAACCGAGAUCACCUACUGGCUGACAGGGAUGAAGGACCAGGAGUACAACCUGCCAGCCCCUCCCACUGUGGAGAAUCAACAACGAUUGCAAGCAGAAUUUUCAGACAUGAUUGCCAACUCUUUACAAAAAAGACAGGCUGCAGGAAUACGAAGUCGAAAACCCACACGGGUAGCCAGCUACAAAAAAGGCACCCUCGAGUACUUGCAACUGAACACCACGGACAAGGAGGUCACCUAUUUUUAAACCUCAGUGAGCUGUAAGGACUCACAAAUAAAACACAGCAGCUCUUGGGCAGCAACCUCGUGUCCUGGAGCCUGCAGUUUCCUGAGACCUCAAUGAAACAGAGAAGCACUUGGCCUUGGCAGCCCUGUCUGGAACAGACUAUCUUCCAUGAAUCACACAUGUGUUCUCAGCGACAGAACUGCCGAAGCCUUAUCCUAACAGCUACUCCAGGGAGCUUCAGACUGGAAAAGAGGAGGAAGGAACGUACUGUCUAGAACUUGAGGAGAGUUUGUUCUCAUUCCAUGUGUUUUGCUUCCUACUUCUCCACCACACUGUGAUGUAGCCAAGGAGGCCCUCCCCAGAGACCUAACAGAUGGGACCACCAAAUCUUGGACUAUCGGCUUCCAAACAUGUGAGCUAAGUAAACCUUUUUUCACUAUGAAGUACCUAGCUUGAAACCUAGCUUAUAGCAAUAGAAAAUAGACUAAGAUUCCUUUAUAAACCAUAAAAUCACAUGUCUAGAUGUGAUGGAAAUAUCCAAGUGCUGUAAAAGUCUCCACAAAGUCAGGAGAAUUCAGAAAGAAUACCUUGUCACAAUAGAGUUGUUUCAACAAACACUGCUAUAGCCAUUGCUUGGUACCUGUACCACUAAUGCCAGGAAUGACUACAGUUGUCCUGGAAGAACCAGAUGCCUCUGCUGUGUGCUUGCUGAAAUUCCAUCACCCCAAACAUGACUGCUUCUUCAUUGCUCCAAGGUUUCCAAGGUAAUCUGCUUAGUGGAAACUAGAUAUGUCAGAAUCCUAAGAGUCUGGAAAAUCUUAUGACAGCUUACAAGGAGCCAACAAUUAAAAAGGAGACAAAUAUUCAUCAUCUGCCUCAAGUUCUACAGUAGAAACCAUUGAGUUCUCAGACUUUCUCUGUUUCUCUGUUAGUUACCAUCACCUGCCUCCCUGCCAGCCCUGUGCAUGGCUGGAAACUUGCUCACCUGGCCAUAACUAGUGGGAAUAAGUAGACCUCUAACUCCUGCAGGACCAGUCUGAUUUUCUAGGAAAUGGGGCUCCAACUCACAAGUAAAGCAGAGUUGAGUGAUAAAGUGGUGUCAGAUAACAUUGGAACUGAAAUUUUUCCACCAUGUGUGGGUAGAAGGGAAGGAAAGCAAUUGACAAGCAUCCUGCAUUGGAGGAGCAGUUCAAUUCCUGGCUUCUCUGCUUCUGAUCCAGUUUCCUACUGACAUGCCUGGGAACGCAUCAUUACUGAGUCCCCGCCACCCACCUGGGAACCUGGAUAGAGUUCCUGGUUCCUGGUCAGGGUUUGACCCAGACCUGGGUGUUGUGACAUUUUGGGGAGUCAACCAGAGGGUAAAAGAUCUCUCUCUUGCUCUCACUCUCACUCUGCCUUUAAAAUAAAUAAAUAUAUUUUUAAAAAAGAAUUGCAAUCAUUGUUAGGAAGGCAGCAUCACUAAGUUAUAAAAGAAUGCUCUUUCACAGGGGUUGAAAGUAAGAAGAGACAGAUUGAACUGGAUGGGGAAGAAACAAGGCAGGAAGGUUAAUGAGCAAUGAAGUUCAGAAGAACCCUAUCCUAAUAACUUGCCAAAUAACAAGAUGUCAUCAGGAAGUUACCAGGGCCUACGGAGAGGAGAGGAUCUCUUAGGUCAUGAUUCAGGCCAGCAAUGUAGCGUAGUGGGUUAAGUCACAGCCUGCCAUGCCACCAUCCCAUAUGAGCGCCAAUUCGGGAAAGCAGCAGAUGACUCGAGUGCUUGGGCCCCUGCUACCCACAUGGAAGGCUCAGAUGGAGUUCCUGGCCCUUGGCUUUGGCCUGACCUAGCCCUGGCUAUUGCAGCCAUUUGGGAAAUGAGCCAGUGGGUAGGAGAUCUCUGUCUCUGUCUCUCCCUCUCUCAAGCUCCUUCUUUCCCUCCCUCCCUGUUACUUUGCCUUUCAAAUAAAUAAAAUAAAUCUUAAGAAAACAAAAACAGGCCAGCGCCGUGGCUCACUAGGCUAAUCCUCCGCCUUGUGGCGCCGGCACACCGGGUUCUAGUCCCAGUCGGGGCGCCAGAUUCUGUCCCGGUUGCCCCUCUUCCAGGCCAGCUCUCUGCUGUGGCCCGGGAAGGCAGUGGAGGAUGGCCCAAGUGCUUGGGCCCUGCACCCCAUGGGAGACCAGGAUAAGUACCUGGCUC